ACUUUAGAGAGAGAGAGAGAGAGAGAGAGAGAGAGAGAGAGAGAGUAGGUGUGGUUGAGAGAGAGAGGGAGUGGAUUCACAUUCAGAUGAGGACGCAGUGGUUGGGCAAAAACGAGGUGUCAAAAAGCCAAUCACAGCCACUCUCUCUUGUUCUCUCCGAUUGAAUUUCCAAGUGUGUUGGGAGCUUAUAUUUAUACGCAACAAACAAGUGAAUAUGUCUGUAUCAUGACUCGACCCUCCGAAUUCAGCCAAUUUCGGUUGAAUUCGAAUUUGGAAAAAUAGGCUAAGAAGAAAAACAUAGCGCAGCACCUACUCUAUCACGAAAAUACAGCCUCCUAUGUUUUAUUUUGCUCUCAUUCAACUUUCUAACCUUAUCAAAUGUAUGCUGCCCCUACCCGGGUCAGUAUAGAAAAUUGUCCCUCC